rnacentral:lncRNA from 1 species
GAACACUUGGAUGGUUAUGGUAUGAUGAUGAUGUUGGAAAUGUCACAUCAAAUAUGGGUACUACUGUUGUAUCUUAAUCAAGUGAUUGCUCUAGUACAGGUGCUAAUAUAGAUGACAGGUAAUGAUUAUUAACUUGAGCUAAAUAUCUGAAAAGUUACUUACCUGUAACCUAAGCUUUUUAUGCAAAAAGUGUUGUCAAGCUAGCCCCACC